CGCCGGUCGGAAACGAAGGAAGGGCUUCCCGGGACCGGGGCCGUCCGACCGCGCAUGCUGUGCCCCGCCAGACGCAUUUGUCUCUCGCUCGAAGGACGCCGCAGCCCGUCGGGAAGUGAAAACGUGACGGCCUGAGAGGCGGACGAUGGCAGGUGGCCGGUGGCGCGUCUCGUGCGCGUCGUCGGUUGUUAGCCGGAUCCGUCGGUGGCACGUCUCUCGACGGAGGUAUCGAGAAGCCCCUCGCGGGCUCUCGCGUCUCCUCCCCCAUAAAGGAAGUCGGGACGGACUGUCGCGAGCAUCGGCAGCCGCGCCGCCGCACUCCGUCGGAGUGGGCGAGCGAAAGGUCGGCGCCGUCGGCGACAGCGGGCCCGUCGGAGGCUGGAGGCUUGCGGCGAGUAGGUCGGUCACCCACCCGACCCGUCUUGAAACACGGACCAAGGAGUCUAACAUGUGCGCGAGUCAAUGGGUCUCGAAUAAGCCCAGAGGCGCAAUGAAAGCGAAGGUCGGCAUCCCGCCGACCGAGUCGGGAUCCCCGUUCCMMMMMGGGCGGGGCGCACCGACGACCCGUCCUAUGCGGCUCGCCGCUUGGGCGGAGUGUGAGCGUACACGUUGGGACCCGAAAGAUGGUGAACUAUGCCCGGGCAGGACGAGGCCAGAG
rnacentral:rRNA from 1 species